UGCGGGAGCGGGACGGCGACCUGGGCUGCGGCCGGAGUGAGCUCUGUGUACGGCCGGGCGGCCACACCACGGGCUUCUGCAGCCCAGGAGGCUGUCCUUACGCGAGCUCCGAGAGGGACUUCAGGGCCUGGAACUCGCAGGACUCGGACACCAGUCAGGUUUGAGCACACAAGGGAGACUGGAGGAGGACUGUGAGCCCCCAAAUGAGUGAGGAGGACCGACAGACAUCUGAGAAUCUGCCUUUGACACUAAGGUUGGUGGUGCUGGCCCUGUCUGAGACUGGGCUUCUUGGCAUGUGUGUUAUGUGAUCUGGGACUACCCUGAAGGCUUGUUGGUGUGAUCAACAUUCAGUAGCAAUAAGCAUCACGAGGGCAGUGUGGAGAGAUGGUUUGGUUCCCAGCACCCACGUGGCACCUCACAACUGUCUAUAACUCCAGCUCCAGGGGAUCCGACACGGUUGUCCGGUUUCUGUGGCUGUUGCACAUAUGUGGUGUGCAUACCGACGUGCAGGCAAAGCACUCGUACACGUAUAGAUGAAUAAAUAAUAAAUAGUUUUACAAAGCAUGGAGACUGGAGGAGUGGUUCGGUCACCUAAGUGCUUGCUGACAGAGCAGGAGGACCCGAGCGGGAUCCUCAGCACCCGUGUGAAAAAGCUCUUCACGGCAGGCAGCAUGUGCCUGGAAUCCCAGCACUCGAUGGGGAGGUGGAAACAGGUGGAUCCCCGGAGGUCACUGGCCAGUCAGUCUCUUGGAAGUGAGGAGUGAUGAGCAAGUCACCUGAUGUCAACGUCCGGCCUCCACACAAAUACGCAUGACGGAAAAACUGAGAUGAAAGAGGACAGAUAAUGUCUCUCACAUCCCAACCUAAUUCCCUUUGCAAACCAUGAGUGUUUGUGGGAGAUGCCAAAAUCUAUAAUAAACGUAAUUUAUAAUGGG